rnacentral:rRNA from 1 species
ACUUAACCUAGCGGCGGACGGGUGAGUAAUGCUUAGGAAUCUGCCUAUUAGUGGGGGACAACAUCUCGAAAGGGAUGCUAAUACCGCAUACGUCCUACGGGAGAAAGCAGGGGACCUUCGGGCCUUGCGCUAAUAGAUGAGCCUAAGUCGGAUUAGCUAGUUGGUGGGGUAAAGGCCUACCAAGGCGACGAUCUGUAGCGGGUCUGAGAGGAUGAUCCGCCACACUGGGACUGAGACACGGCCCAGACUCCUACGGGAGGCAGCAGUGGGGAAUAUUGGACAAUGGGGGGAACCCUGAUCCAGCCAUGCCGCGUGUGUGAAGAAGGCCUUUUGGUUGUAAAGCACUUUAAGCGAGGAGGAGGCUACCGAGAUUAAUACUCUUGGAUAGUGGACGUUACUCGCAGAAUAAGCACCGGCUAACUCUGUGCCAGCAGCCGCGGUAAUACAGAGGGUGCAAGCGUUAAUCGGAUUUACUGGGCGUAAAGCGCGCGUAGGUGGCCAAUUAAGUCAAAUGUGAAAUCCCCGAGCUUAACUUGGGAAUUGCAUUCGAUACUGGUUGGCUAGAGUAUGGGAGAGGAUGGUAGAAUUCCAGGUGUAGCGGUGAAAUGCAUAGAGAUCUGGAGGAAUACCGAUGGCGAAGGCAGCCAUCUGGCCUAAUACUGACACUGAGGUGCGAAAGCAUGGGGAGCAAACAGGAUUAGAUACCCUGGUAGUCCAUGCCGUAAACGAUGUCUACUAGCCGUUGGGGCCUUUGAGGCUUUAGUGGCGCAGCUAACGCGAUAAGUAGACCGCCUGGGGAGU